UGGCUCAGGAUGAACGCUGGCGGUCUGCUUAACACAUGCAAGUCGAACGGAACUCUUCGGAGUUUAGUGGCGGACGGGUGAGUAACGCGUGAGAAUCUGCCUUCAGGUUGGGGACAACAGUUGGAAACGACUGCUAAUACCCAAUGUGCCGAGAGGUGAAAGCUUUAGUGCCUGAGGAUGAGCUCGCGUCUGAUUAGCUAGUUGGAGUGGUAAUGGCACACCAAGGCGACGAUCAGUAGCUGGUCUGAGAGGAUGAUCAGCCACACUGGGACUGAGACACGGCCCAGACUCCUACGGGAGGCAGCAGUGGGGAAUUUUCCGCAAUGGGCGCAAGCCUGACGGAGCAAGACCGCGUGAGGGAGGAAGGCUCUUGGGUUGUAAACCUCUUUUAUCAGGGAAGAAGAUCUGACGGUACCUGAUGAAUCAGCAUCGGCUAACUCCGUGCCAGCAGCCGCGGUAAUACGGAGGAUGCAAGCGUUAUCCGGAUUUAUUGGGCGUAAAGCGUCCGCAGGUGGUUUUACAAGUCUGCUGUUAAAGCGCGAGGCUUAACCUCGUACAGGCAGUGGAAACUGUGAGACUAGAGUGUGGUAGGGGUAGCGGGAAUUCCCAGUGUAGCGGUGAAAUGCGUAGAUAUUGGGAAGAACACCAGCGGCGAAAGCGCGCUACUGGGCCAUCACUGACACUCAUGGACGAAAGCUAGGGGAGCGAAAGGGAUUAGAUACCCCUGUAGUCCUAGC
rnacentral:rRNA from 1 species